rnacentral:rRNA from 1 species
UGGGGAAUCUUGCGCAAUGGGAGCAAUCCUGACGCAGCGACGCCGCGUGUGGGAGGACGCCCUUCGGGGUGUAAACCACUGUUGCCCGGGACGAAUGUGGGGGCUUGCCCUCAUUGACGGUACCGGGUGAGGAAGCACCGGCUAACUCCGUGCCAGCAGCCGCGGUAAUACGGAGGGUGCGAGCGUUGUCCGGAAUCACUGGGCGUAAAGGGCGCGUAGGCGGUGGGGUAAGGCUAUGGUGAAAGCCCGGGGCUCAACCCCGGGUCGGCCGUGGCGACUGCCCGACUGGAGCACAGUAGAGGCAGGUGGAAUUCCGGGUGUAGCGGUGGAAUGCGUAGAGAUCCGGAAGAACACCGGUGGCGAAGGCGGCCUGCUGGGCUGUGGCUGACGCUGAGGCGCGACAGCGUGGGGAGCAAACAG